GUGCUCGCUUUGGCAGCACAUAAACUCAGAUCGGAAUGAUAUAGAGAAGAUUAGCAUGGCCCUGCUCAAGGAUGACAGGCAAAUGUAUGAAAAAAGGAACAAAAAU
ensembl:snRNA U6 U6 spliceosomal RNA